GUAGUGUGCAGGUCUCGUUCUCUAUGUGCUGAUGAAGAGCUCAGCCAGUUCAGUUCGUAGAUGUGUAGCUCAGAGUUCAUGCAAAACGGUGAUGCAUCACCAGCACAAGCACACGCAUCAUCCAAGACACAGACUUGAAAUAUUUUGUAGUCCACACCUUUAAAUGUUCAAAGUACUUGUCUGCAGCAGUUUUUGAUGAAUUUGUAGUCUCGGUCGAGCUGUGACUGCAAAGGGACUGGGCAGUGACUACAAUGAGUUAAGCGUGUAUGUUUUGGUGUUCAUAUAGCGCUUGGUGUUUAUGGGUAAUCCUGCUCAGUUCCAAUGUUAUAGUGCAGGGCGAGGUUCAGAGAAGCGGACGGUUCAUAAUUGGCUUACGAUAGAUCAACUUGAUAUUCCUGACCAACUUCUUCAAAUCACUGGAUGAUACUUUGACGAUACAUGCAUGAUUUGACGGGAUUGGUUCGGAAACUGCUUGGCUUUUGGCAUUUGACAAUCUCUACGUAUCGAACAAAAGGGUCAUGGUGAGCUUUUUGUUUGCGGAUGUGUUGCUAAUAGUUAAAAUGUAAGAAGCAAGUUUAAGGAUAUUGGGAGCAAAAAUUAAAAUUUUUAGAAUCCAAAAAAAUGUAGAGAAGUACCUUUAACUAAGAAAUUAAAUUUUAGUAACUAAGAUUGAGUUUUUUUUUAUAUAUAUAUAUAUCUAUGCUAUUAUUUUUUUUAAUCCAAUAAAUUCUUUGUUUUCACUAAAUUCAAUUAGUC